GCCGGCUUAGCUCAGUUGGUAGAGCAGUUGCCUUGUAAGCAUCAGGUCGUCAGUUCGAGUCUGACAGCCGGCACCA
rnacentral:tRNA from 2 species